rnacentral:rRNA from 1 species
AGCGAACGCUGGCGGCAGGCCUAACACAUGCAAGUCGAGCGCCCAGCAAUGGGAGCGGCAGACGGGUGAGUAACGCGUGGGGAUGUGCCCAAUGGUGCGGAAUAACCCAGGGAAACUUGGAUUAAUACCGCAUGUGCCCUUCGGGGGAAAGACUUAUCGCCAUUGGAUCAACCCGCGUCUGAUUAGCUAGUUGGUGAGGUAAAGGCUCACCAAGGCGACGAUCAGUAGCUGGUCUGAGAGGAUGAUCAGCCACACUGGGACUGAGACACGGCCCAGACUCCGACGGGAGGCAGCAGUGGGGAAUAUUGGACAAGGGGCGCAAGCCUGAUCCAGCCAUGCCGCGUGAGUGAUGAAGGCCUUAGGGUUGUAAAGCUCUUUCGCCGGUGAAGAUAAUGACGGUAACCGGAGAAGAAGCCCCGGCUAACUUCGUGCCAGCAGCCGCAGUAA